GGUGACUAGCUGCUGCCACGUACAGGAUGUGGGCAAAGAAUGUCAUCAUUCUUUCAUUUCUACAACUAUUGUAGUAAAUCCCAAAUCUCCAGUACAACAAAUGCCAAGACUUCACAACUGUGAUGGCUUUUCUUCUCAAGAAAGUUCUCAAGAAACAGCAAUUAAUGUUAGAGUACUGGCGGAGGAGGAGAAUUAGAAGCUCAGAAAUGAAGGUGGCCCAAAUUCUCUGCAGGGUCAGAGGAAUAAAGUCAUGCAGCAAAGAAGAUUUUCAUUGCUUCAUUUCAUCUCUGACAAAGGACCUGCUUAUGUUUCCCAAUAGCCUCUUUUCUGAGUGAACAUAACAUUUUAACACAAACACUGCAUGCUACAAAUAAAGAGUUGACCUGUAUUAUGA